UGAUUUCCUUAGUACGGCGAGUGAAAGGAAAAGUCCAUCGCAAAGGUAAUACAACCUUUUGUUGUUGUAUUACGGUGCUGCGUAUGUUCACUAGAGUGAUAAUGCACAGUAGGUGAAGCAUGUUUGCAAAUCCUAUUGAAUGGGGUUAUCUAUCCAGAGUUGGUGCAAGACCAAUAGCGAACACUUCCUACUCUACUGUGAUUACUCUAUCGUGAAACAGAGUUAGUUUGCUUGAGAGUGCAAACUGAAGUAGAAGGUAAACUUCUUCUAAGACUAAAUACGAUGGUAAUACCGAUAGCAAACAAGUACCGUGAGGGAAAGUUGCAAAGAACUUUGAAGAGAGAGUUCAAAAGGACGUGAAACUGUUUUCAGGGAAACGGUUGGAACCACGAAGUGUAACUUGGCUAGAGAAUUCAAUUUCUUUAUAAAUGUACUCUAGAUGCUAUUUCUUGCUGUAUCAUCUUGUAUGCUAAUACAGUGUAGUGUCUGGAAAAAAUAUACAUUUAAAAGAGAUGCAUUUUCUUAUAGCCAUAGUUCGAACCUCGACUUAUGGGAGAAGACUUGUAAUGGAUGUAUUGGUCUACAUUAACUAGUUGAUAUUUGGUGUAAAAGUCAAGUAUUACUAUGUUAAUAAAUCAUUCUCUUCACAAGAGAAGCACUAUAAUAUCAUUUGUUUUAUUAUAUGUGUGUAAAUGUGUAGAGAUGUACCAAUAACAUAUACUCCUAUAAGAUGAUAAUACUCUACUUUGUGUAGAGUCUUUACAGUACUAGUAGGAUAUCUGUAGUGACUAUCUGAUAUACUGUAAGGUAUAAUGCUGUGU
rnacentral:rRNA from 1 species